AGCGAACGCUGGCGGCAGGCUUAACACAUGCAAGUCGAGCGGGCACUUUCGGGUGUCAGCGGCGGACGGGUGAGUAACGCGUGGGAACGUGCCCUCUGGUUCGGAAUAACUCAGGGAAACUUGAGCUAAUACCGGAUACGCCCUUUUGGGGAAAGGCUUGCUGCCGGAGGAUCGGCCCGCGUCUGAUUAGCUAGUUGGUGAGGUAACGGCUCACCAAGGCGACGAUCAGUAGCUGGUCUGAGAGGAUGAUCAGCCACACUGGGACUGAGACACAGCCCAGACUCCUACGGGAGGCAGCAGUGGGGAAUAUUGGACAAUGGGCGCAAGCCUGAUCCAGCCAUGCCGCGUGAGUGAUGAAGGCCUUAGGGUUGUAAAGCUCUUUUAUCCGGGACGAUAAUGACGGUACCGGAGGAAUAAGCCCCGGCUAACUUCGUG
rnacentral:rRNA from 1 species